UACGUAGGGUGCAAGCGUUGCCCGGAUUUAUUGGGCGUAAAGGGCGCGUAGGCGGCUCGGCACGUCCGUUGUGAAAUCGCCCGGCUCAACUGGGCGGGGUCAGCGGAUACGGCCGAGCUUGAGCAAGCUAGGGGGCAAUGGAAUUCCCGGUGUAGUGGUGGAAUGCGUAGAUAUCGGGAGGAACACCAGUGGCGAAGGCGGCUCUCUGGGACGGUACUGACGCUGGGGUGCGAAAGCAUGGGGAGCGAACAGG
rnacentral:rRNA from 1 species